rnacentral:rRNA from 1 species
GAUGAACGCUAGCUACAGGCUUAACACAUGCAAGUCGAGGGGUAACGAGAGGAAAGCUUGCUUUCCUUGUCGACGACCGGCGCACGGGUGAGUAACGCGUAUCCAACCUGCCCCCAACUAAGGAAUAACCUUGCGAAAGUAAGACUAAUACCUUAUAAUUUCCUCAGAUGUCAUCUGACGAGGAAUAAAGAUUUAUCGGUUGUGGAUGGGGAUGCGUCUGAUUAGCUUGUUGGCGGGGUAACGGCCCACCAAGGCAACGAUCAGUAGGGGUUCUGAGAGGAAGGUCCCUCACAUUGGAACUGAGACACGGUCCAAACUCCUACGGGAGGCAGCAGUGAGGAGUAUUGGUCAAUGGGCGAAAGCCUGAACCAGCCAAGUAGCGUGCAGGAUGACGGCCCUAUGGGUUGUAAACUGCUUUUAUACAGGAAUAAAGUUAGCCACGUGUGGUUAUUUGUAGGUACUGUAUGAAUAAGGACCGGCUAAUUCCGUGCCAGCAGCCGCGGUAA